rnacentral:rRNA from 1 species
UACGUAGGCAGCGAGCGUUGUUCGGAAUUACUGGGCGUAAAGAGUGUGUAGGCGGUGCUCUAAGUUCGGUGUGAAAUCUCCUGCUUAACUGGGAGGGUGCGCCGGGAAACUGGAGUGCUCGAGCGUGGGAGAGGAAAGCGGAAGUUCCUGGUGUAGCGGUGAAAUGCGUAGAUAUCAGGAGGAACACCUGUGGUGUAGACGGCUUUCUGGACCAUAGCUGACGCUGAGACACGAAAGCGUGGGUAGCAAACAGG